rnacentral:tRNA from 2 species
GCUGCGGUGGUGGAAUGGUAUACACGGAGGCCUUAAGAGCCUCUACCUGCAAGGGUGUGUGGGUUCGACUCCCUCCCGCAGCACUA